GAUGAACGCUGGCGGCGUGCCUAAUACAUGCAAGUCGAACGAACAGACAAGGAGCUUGCUCCUCUGACGUUAGCCGCGGACGUGAGAGUAACGCGUGUGUAACCUACCUGUAAGACUGGGAUAACAUCGGGAAACCGGAGCUAAUACCGGAUAAGAUAUUGAACCGCAUGGUUCAAUGGAGAAAUACGGUUUUGCUGUUUCUAAUAGAUGGUUCCGCGCCGCAUUAGCGAGUUGGUAAGGUAACGGCUUACCAAGGCAACGAUGCGUAGCCGAGCUGAGAGGGUGAUCGGCCACACUGGAACUGAGACACGGUCCAGACUCCUACGGGAGGCAGCAGUAGGGAAUCUUGCGCAAUGGGCGAAAGCCUGACGGAGCAACGCCGCGUGAGUGAUGAAGGUCUUCGGAUCGUAAAACUCUGUUAUUCGGGAAGAACAAAUGUGUAAGUAACUAUGCACGUCUUGACGGUACCUAAUCAGAAAGCCACGGCUAACUACGUG
rnacentral:rRNA from 1 species